AUCGAACGCUGGCGGCAUGCCUUACACAUGCAAGUCGAACGGUAACGGGCCUUCGGGUUCCGACGUGGGGCGAACGGGUGCGUAUUACUUCGGAACGUGCCCGAUCGUUGGGGAUAACGAGGCGAAAGCGUUGCUAAUACCGCAUACGAUCUACGGAUGAAAGCAGGGGGCCGCAAGGCCUUACGCGGCAAGUGCGGCCGAUGACGGUUUAGGUGGUUGGUGGGAUAAAAGUUUUCCAAGCGGACGUCCUCUAGCUGGUCGGACAGGAUGAUCAGCCAAACGGGGACUGAAACACGGCCCAGACUCCUACGGGAGGCAGCAGUGGGGAAUUUUGGACAAUGGGCGCAAGCCUGCUCCAGCCAUGCCGCGUGCAGGAUGAAGGCCUUCGGGUUGUAAACUGCUUUUGUACGGAACGAAAAGCCUUCUUUUAAUACAGGAGGGUCAUGACGGUACCGUAAGAAUAAGCACCGGCUAACUACGUG
rnacentral:rRNA from 1 species